GGAGGUCCGAACCCACGAGCGUUGAAAAGCUCGGGGAUGACUUGUGGGUAGCGGUGAAAUUCCAAUCGAGCCCGGAGAUAGCUGGUUCUCCCCGAAAUAGCUUUAGGGCUAGCCUCAAGGUGAGAGAUACGGAGGUAGAGCACUGAAUGUCCUAGGGGGUAUUGCACCUACCGAAGACUAUCAAACUCCGAAUGCCGUCAUCAUAUACUAUGCAGCCAGACUGUGGGUGAUAAGAUUCAUAGUCGAAAGGGCAACAGCCCAGAUCGUCAGCUAAGGUCCCUAAAUGUAAGUUAAGUGGUAAAGGAUGUGGGAUUGCACAGACAACCAGGAUGUUGGCUUAGAAGCAGCCACUCAUUCAAAGAGUGCGUAAUAGCUCACUGGUCGAGUGAUCCUGCGCCGAAGAUUUCCGGGGCUAAAACUUACUACCGAAGCUACGGCAUCAGUAAUGAUGGGUAGGGGAGCUUCCCAUACGGGUUGAAGCAUGACCGUAAGGACAUGUGGACAGUAUGGGAGUGAGAAUGUUGGCAUGAGUAGCGAGAUGUGGGUGAGAAUCCCACAGGCCGUAAACCCAAGGUUUCCAGGGGAAGGUUCGUCCGCCCUGGGUUAGUCGGGACCUAAGCUGAGGCCGAAAGGCGUAGGUGAUGGACAACAGGUUGAUAUUCCUGUACUACCGAUAACCGUUUGAGAGAUGGGAUGACACAGUAGGAUAAGCUAAGCACACUGUUGGUUAUGUGUGCCCAAGCAUUGAGGCAGUCAAAGUAGGCAAAUCCGCUUUGAUAAUGCUGGGAUGUGAUGGGGAGCGAAAUUUAGUAGCGAAGUAGCUGAUUUCACACUGUCAAGAAAAGUCUCUAUCGAGGUUAAAGGUACCCGUACCGCAAACCGACACAGGUGGGUGAGGAGAGUAUCCUAAGGCCAGCGAGAGAACUGUUGUUAAGGAACUCGGCAAAAUGACCCCGUAACUUAGGGAUAAGGGGUGCCACCAUCAGGUGGCCGCAGAGAAUAGGCCCAAGCGACUGUUUACCAAAAACAUAGGUUUCUGCUAAGUCGCAAGACGAUGUAUAGGAGCUGACGCCUGCCCGGUGCUGGAAGGUUAAGGGGAUCUGUUAGAGCAAUCGAAGCAGUGAACUUAAGCCCCAGUAAACGGCGGCCGUAACUAUAACGGUCCUAAGGUAGCGAAAUUCCUUGUCGGGUAAGUUCCGACCCGCACGAAAGGCGUAACGAUUUGGGCACUGUCUCA
rnacentral:rRNA from 1 species